rfam:Gossypium hirsutum cultivar TM-1 chromosome 5, whole genome shotgun sequence
CACGUCAGCGCGAUUUGCUUACGUGGACACAAAUCGCGCCUACGAGGACGCGAUUUGCUGACACGUCCCCUGACAUCGCGCUGACGUGG